CCUACGGGAGGCAGCAGUGGGGGAUAUUGCACAAUGGGGGGAACCCUGAUGCAGCGACGCCGCGUGGGUGAAGAAGCGCCUCGGCGCGUAAAGCCCUGUCAGCAGGGGAGAAAAUGACGGUACUUGAAGAAAAAGCAUCGGCUAACUCCGUGACAGCAGCCGCGAUAAUACGGGGGAUGCCAGCGUUAUCCGGAUUUAUGGGGUUUAAAGGGUGCGUAGGCGGACGGUUAGGUCAGGGGUAAGAGGCCGGGGCUCACCCCCGGCGUGCCGUUGAAACUGGCUGUCUUGAGAUGGCGAGAGGUAUGCGGAAUGCGCGGUGUAGCGGUGAAAUGCUUAGAUAUUGCGCAGAACUCCGAUUGCGAAGGCAGCAUACCGGCGGCGAUCUGACGCUGAGGCACGAAAGCGUGGGUAUCGAACAGGAUUAGAUACCCGAGUAGUC
rnacentral:rRNA from 1 species